AGUCACAUCACCUAGGUGCUCGGCCCAGUGAUACAUCACAAUUUCUCCUUGGGCAGAGCCAAGUAGUAGAAAAGAGUCACAUCACCUAGGUGUUGGGUCCAGCAAUAUGUCACUAUACACCCUGAGGGGUGGGCCCAGGCAAGAGACUCUCAUCACCUAGGUGAGGGGUCCAGAGAUAUGUCACGAGGCCCCCUUGUGGGCAGGGCUCAGGAAGGAGAGAAACUGCUGUUCUCAAUGUCACCAAUCACAUGGACGUCACAAAUCACUUGCAAAGUCAACAGACUCUUGUCUGCCCGCACAGUCUUCAGAAAAUGUGUCCAGGUGAAUUCAAAGCAAGGCAUUCUAAUUAGAACAAUGUACAGAAGGAAAGAAGGUAUGAGAGUCUGAGGGGAGUUUGAGGAACAGAAAGUAGACAGGUAUGUGUACAGUAAUAAAUAUAAUAGAUGAUGUUUUAGAAAAGAGUAAACAGGGAAUACGUUCUGAAUGCUUUUGAAUACCCAGUUGGACAUCUGGACUUCCUCCUACAAGUAUGAAACACCUCCAAAGAGUUUUACAUGUGCGCUAAAAAUUAAAGACAAAGUUAAUCCCUAAACACCCACCUCACCCUCCUCCCCACCCCUCCUGUACAAAAAAACGAAUAAGAGAGCAAAGGUAAUUCAAUGGAGAAAGGAGAGGUUUUUCAAAAAAUGAUACUGAAACAAAUGGACAUCACAUACAAAAAAAUACAACUAGACUAAGACUUCACUUUUUAUAAAAAUUAACUCAAAAUGGGUGAUAAACCUAAAUGUAAAAUGUGCAACUAUUAAACUCCUAGAAGAUAACAUAGAUGAAAAUUCUGGGUGGCCUGAGGUUUGACUUUUUGAUACACCAACAAAAGUGCAAUCCAUGAAAGAAUAAAUUGAUAACUUGGACUUUAAUAAACUUCUGACUUGUGAAAUACAUGGUUAAGAGAAUGAAAUGACAAACUAACAGACUGGGAGAAAAUAUUUUCAAAACACAUAUUUGAUAAAGAACUGGUAUUCAAAAUAUACAAUCUACUCUUAAAAGUCAAUAAUAAGAAAACAAAUGACCCAGUUACAAAAUGGGCAAGAUAUCUGAACAGAUACCUCAUCAAAAAGAUACACAAAUGCAAUUAAGCACAUGAAAAUAUGUUCAACAUUAAAUGUCAUCGUCAUCAGGAAAACUUCACAUUAAAACAACAGCAGUAAAACUAUAUAUUAUUGUAAAUGACUUUAUGCAUUUGUCAAAACCUAUAAAACUGUACAAUGCAAAAAGUGAAUCCUAAUAUAAGCUAUAGAUUUUAGUUAAUAAUAGUAUAUCAAUAUCUGUUCAUCAACUGUAGUAAAUGCACCCAACUAAUCCAUAGUGUAUGAGAGUUCUUUAUACUUUCUGCUUGGUUUCUCUGUCAACCUAAAACCACUCUAAAAAUAAAAUAAAUUAACUUUUAAAAAUCACCAAUAAUAGCCCUCAUUGUGUGAUUCUUGUUUUCUGAUCCAAAUGUUGAUCUUCUCCAGAUGCAUUACUUCAUUAUCAGUUUCUGCACCUAAGUUUCAUUAGUUAGAAUAUAAUAUCUUUUAAAAAGAUACGUUGGUUUUGCUUUUCUUGCAUCCCCCAAAUACCUAUUAAAAGUUCGGAGGUGGUAAAUACAUGGAGUUAAGACUUAAACCAUAAUUUAACAACAGUGAAAAUUUGAAAUAAGAUAAUAUUCUCCUUGGAUACAAAGGCAUUUUAGCUUUGUGCUAGAUGAAACUUUUAAGUUAUCCAGUCUCCAGUGAACAUUUAUUCCAGCUCAUUGAAGUUGAAUAUUCAGAGGACUCACUGAAUUAAUUUGUGCAGGAAUGGUAUUUUUAAGGGAGGCCAUUGUAAAUUCUAAAUCACGAAGACUCUCUUGGCACCUCAGACAAGAAUAUGCUAUAUUGUGAAUGUAGCAUUUAAUUCCUAAAAAUGAGCAGAAUGUCUUCGUCUUCUUAUUUUUUGUGUGUGUAUCAGCAUGCUGUAUGCAAUUCUUUAGUAAACCACAUUUAGAAAUCAAAUAGGAAUCGCUAGGCCCGAAGGUACCUUCAGAGGUCAUUUGGGUCACUUCCACAUUUCCAGUGUUAUUAAACUCCCUAAAUUAAAUCUCUCAGCUUAUUAAAUCUAGACUGUGCUAGUGCACAGGUUUCUAUGUGCUCACAAAACCUGUCUCUUUCAUUCUGGGCACAGGCAUAGACCACACUUUCCAGCCUUCCUUGUGGUUGGUGCAAUCAUGUGACUCAAGUCUAGGCAAAAGAUUACAAACAAAAGACAUAUGUUUUACUUGGCCCAUCCAAAGCUCAUACAGCUGAUAUUUCCUAUUUCUUUAACUGCAAGAAGAAAGAAAAAGUCCUCUAAGGAUCCAGGAUUAAUGUGACCACAGACUGAAAGGAGCUUAGACUUAAGGGGCCAAAUUCCUGGAGAGAAAGGAAGUUCUUUGAAAUGACUGAUGUGCUGGGGCUUGUGCUGAUAGAAGGAUGAGAAGCCCAGGAGAAAGUCAAGCGAAAAAAGUGGUUUCACAGAUCCCUUGGAGCCUUCUGAGAAGAGUAAAACAAAAUUAAGACAAGAUUUGCCAAAAAGACCAAGGUCCCAGAGAGAAGGGAAAUAAGCCUAUUCUCAAGCUAGAACACAAGAGCCUAAGGGCAUCUCUAAAUUGGGGACUCUGAUUGGCCCAGAAGGAAUCAACUACUAUGUCUGUGUGCAUAAGAACAGAGAUAGGCAAAGUUGGCUGUAAGAAAUGGAACAUCCGGGCCACGCACAGUGGCUCACACCUGUAAUCCCAGCACUUUGGGAGGCUGAGGCGGGAGGAUCAGGAGGUCAGCAGGUCAAGACCAUCCUGGCUAACACAGUGAAACCCCAUCUCCACUAAAAAUAAAAAUAAAAAAAAAUUAGUUGGUCAUGGUGGCA